AUGCAAUACAAUGGAAUGGGUAUACACGUUUCAAUGGCUAAACAGCAUUUUCUGUCAAGACUUACACGAUUUAUGACUAUCUUUCACAGACUGAAAGUGAAGCUUUUCACAGCGAAGGGCCAUAAAACCCUGGCUAACAGUUAGAAUAACCCUUUAAAUGCUGGCUAGACCUCCUAGGUAAUUAAGAUCUAUUCUUAUGUAAUUUUAAAUAAAAUAACAUUUAAACCAGUUCAUU